rnacentral:rRNA from 1 species
UACGUAGGGGGGCUAGCGUUGUCCGGAAUCAUUGGGCGUAAAGCGCGUGUAGGCGGUCCGGUAAGUCCGCUGUGAAAGUCGGGGGCUCAACCCUCGAAUGCCGGUGGAUACUGUCGGGCUAGAGUGCGGGAAAGAGGCGAGUGGAAUUCUGGUGUAGCGGUGGAAAUGCGUAGAUAUCCGGAGGAACACCAGUGGCGAAG